rnacentral:rRNA from 1 species
GACGAACGCUGGCGGCGUGCCUAAUACAUGCAAGUCGAACGCAGAAGGGAGGACUUUCUUCUCCGGAUGAGUUGCGCACGGGUGAGUAACACGUGGGUAAACUGCCUGGUAGCGGGGGAUAACUCUUGGAAACGCUAGCUAAUACCGCAGAACAGUAGUUGACGCAUGAUAUCUACUUGAAAGAUGCAGUUGCGUCACUACCAGAUGAAGCUGCGUUGUAUUAUCUGGUUGGUGAGGUAACGGCGGAACAAGGCGACGAUACAUAGCCGACCUGAGAGGGUGAUCGGCCACCCUGGGAACGGGACACCGCUCAGACCCCUAAGGGGGGCAGCCGUAGGGGAUCUUCGGCAAAGGAGGGAAGUCUGAACGGGGAACGCCGGGUGAGGGAAGAAGGGUCUCGGAUCGUAAAGCUCUGGUGUAAGGGAAGAAAGAGAGUUGGAGUGGAAAGUUCACAUUGUGACGGUAUCUUACCAGAAAGGGACGGCUAACUACGUG